rnacentral:rRNA from 1 species
CCUGAAGUGGGGGAUAACCAUUGGAAACGAUGGCUAAUACCGCAUAACACCUUCGGGUCAAAGAGGGGGACCUUCGGGCCUCUCGCGUCAGGAUAUGCCUAGGUGGGAUUAGCUAGUUGGUGAGGUAAUGGCUCACCAAGGCGACGAUCCCUAGCUGGUCUGAGAGGAUGAUCAGCCACACUGGAACUGAGACACGGUCCAGACUCCUACGGGAGGCAGCAGUGGGGAAUAUUGCACAAUGGGCGCAAGCCUGAUGCAGCCAUGCCGCGUGUGUGAAGAAGGCCUUCGGGUUGUAAAGCACUUUCAGUCGUGAGGAAGGUAGUGUAGUUAAUAGCUGCAUUAUUUGACGUUAGCGACAGAAGAAGCACCGGGCUAACUCCGUGCCAGCAGCUGCGGUAAUACGGAGGGUGCGAGCGUUAAUCGGAAUUACUGGGCGUAAAGCGCAUGCAGGUGGUUUGUUAAGUCAGAUGUGAAAGCCCGGGGCUCAACCUCGGAAUAGCAUUUGAAACUGGCAGACUAGAGUACUGUAGAGGGGGGUAGAAUUUCAGGUGUAGCGGUGAAAUGCGUAGAGAUCUGAAGGAAUACCGGUGGCGAAGGCGGCCCCCUGGACAGAUACUGACACUCAGAUGCGAAAGCGUGGGGAGCAAACAGGAUUAGAUACCCUGGUAGUCCACGCCGUAAACGAUGUCUACUUGGAGGUUGUGGCCUUGAGCCGUGGCUUUCGGAGCUAACGCGUUAAGUAGACCGCCUGGGGAGUACGGUCGCAAGAUUAAAACUCAAAUGAAUUGACGGGGGCCCGCACAAGCGGUGGAGCAUGUGGUUUAAUUCGAUGCAACGCGAAGAACCUUACCUACUCUUGACAUCCAGAGAACUUUCCAGAGAUGGAUUGGUGCCUUCGGGAACUCUGAGACAGGUGCUGCAUGGCUGUCGUCAGCUCGUGUCGUGAAAUGUUGGGUUAAGUCCCGCAACGAGCGCAACCCUUAUCCUUGUUUGCCAGCACUUCGGGUGGGAACUCCAGGGAGACUGCCGGUGAUAAACCGGAGGAAGGUGGGGACGACGU